UAAAAGCAAAUGUUCUACCCUAAGUGCAUAAGUUUAAUACAUUUCAAGAUGGUAAGUUUCAAAAUAUUGACAACAAAAGAUUCCUAGAACAUUCAAUUAUAGCAAUUAAAAAUUCAUCUUAAGUAAGGUCUAGAUCUUCACUGCCUUCAUCUUUUAUUUCUUGAUCUACUCCACCUACAAAAGAGGAUAAAUAAAGUCAUUACCCUUCACCUUGAAUACCUGGACUAAAUAAAUUGAUCAAAAAAGAAAAAGAAAAGAAUGGACGUACAAGAUGCUAGUCAUGCGCCUAGCUCUUCUACAAAAACACAUUAUCUAGACCCAAAUUUGGACAUUAAAUGUGCAUGCAAGCUACUAAAAAAGAAUAACAUAUCAAAUUAAUCCCGUUAUAGGAUUUAAAAGGAAAAGUAGUCAGUUUGCACAAAUUUGGUUUUGUGACCACUAGCUAAUUAUUGAUUUCAUAUCACAACAUAGGUUAGAGUUUAGAAAACUAUAGAGGCAGGAAUAACAAUUAUAAUAACUUUUUCUAUAAAUGAGUCAACCAAAUAGUAACCAAAAGUGAAUAAUAAGUAGUGCAAUCAACUUACCAUACUAAUUCAAUACAUUGACAAUGUUAAAGUACCUGCAACAUUUACUCUUCAUACUGAACUUUUCUUUUGAAAAGGUAAGGUAAUGUUAUAAAUCUAGAACUAAGAAUGUGUUGUUGUAACUUUAAAUAAUUAACAGAGGCAGAAAAAGUAUAAGGAUAAGCCCCAAAAAACUAAUUCUGUAAUAAUCCUAACCUGAAGAACAAUUUCAUCCUCAUUUUACAUGUUCCAUCCAUACCAAAAGCAAGAAUAGGAUGUUAAUAGCAACCCCUCCACUGCCUUUGAUAAUUGGAAAAAGCACCAGAUUUAUCCUUUCCUAUUGUAAACUCAAUAAAUACUGUACCAAAAACUAGAACAUACAAAGUCCAAUAUUGCAAAGUCCAAGUAUAUUUUGACAAACUUAUGAUAACCACCAAUACAAUAAUAUACAAAAGCUAUGCAGACAGCUAUAGAAGUGAAACACAGAACAAGAAAAUACAUUUAGAAGUCAAUUGAAAGAAAUUAAAACCUUAAUAUUUCCCUUUUACAACCAAUCCUUCACAUAAAGUAAAACAAGAAACAAGUAGAUAAUAGGUCCUAGAAAGAAUGGAUGUAAUUUACCUUGUGGUGAUCGAAGUUCCAAUAUUCAAGAUCCUUAAAGUGAGACUCUGGAACAUCUACCGGCCUAUUCUCCAUUUGAAGUUCAUCAUUCUCCUUUCUUCCAUGUACACUUGACAUUUGAAUACGACCUCUUUUUCUUUUUGGCACGGAGGGGCCUGCAAUAGUACAAAGCAAAGAUAAUCAUCAACUACUAUUGUUAGUUAAUUUUAUGAUUAAAAUUUAUAUAUACUUGCCUUCUUCCUCAUAUUUUUCAAUUGCUUCAUGAUUGAUAGAAUCCUCAGAUUGUUCAUGUACUGCAUGUGAUGCAUCCUAGGACAGAGAAUAAACCCCAUCGCCAUCCUUGAUUAAUUAAAUUAUCUCAAUAUUUUUCAUCGAAAAAAAUAUAUAAAUCAGGCAUAUGGUCCAAGAAGUUAGAAACAACAACUUAAGCAAGAAGCAAGAAAGUGAGAAUCACAACAAAAUGAAGUUAACUAAAGAAUUUUUAAGUAUUCAUAUUGUUCCAUUUAUGCUCGUCUUAAUCCUAUUUCAACAGAAUUAUUCAUAAAAGAUCAAAGUGCAAUGAAGGGUAAAGAAAAUCCGUUAGAAAUUUACAUUUUAGUUGGUGCUAUACGAAUCAUUUCAUCUUUUGUUUUUCAUUAACCCAAAAGGAGUUCUUAUAUAAAAUUUGGCAAUGAUUUAGUCUAUUUUAAUCAUUAAGGCCUUUGCCUUACCAACAUCCAAUCGUAAGGGUAAGCACUCUUAUGGCAAUUUAUUUCACACAAAUUCUCAAACAACAGUUUAAUUAAAAAUGGAGUACUCAACAGCUGUUUAAACUUACUUGAUUUCCACAAUAAGAAUCUAUAAAAUUUUCUUUGAUAUUCAAAUUAUAAAGUACUUGAAGAUCAUGUUAUAGCAAUGUUGGACAAGAGAGAGCACAUUCAAAUUAAACAAAAAAAUAGAGCAAAAAACAGAAAAAAGCAAGACAUUGAAGUUUACUUUUUGUUGGAAUUAAAGUGACUAUACAUCCUUCUUGGCACCAUAGUUAGAAGAUUAAAUAGAGAAUUGACUCAAAAAUAUUCCAAAGGUCCUAACCUUGAAUCAGUUUAAUCUCUCACAACUAAUACAUAAUCAGAACAUACACGAAACUAGUAUUUAAUACAUACAUGGAAGCUGCAUUCACGAUUUUCCCUAAGAAUAAAAGAAAGAUCACAACGACAAAGUGAUUUUAAAUUGUGUUUUUUUCAAAAAAGUGAUCAAACUCGACUAAAAAAGAAGAAGAAAAGAAAAGGUGAUUGAUCUGACCAUGUAUGAUAUAUUUAGAAUAAAAAUUUAACUAUAUACUAUCACAAAAGAAAAAAGAGUUACAACAAAGAUUAAUAUUUCAUUAGAUGAAAAAGAUUCUAACUGCAAAAUCACUGCAGUAACAAAGAAGGUCAUGGCUAACCAUUUACUUAACUUAAUCAGAACACUAAGAAAAUAGUACGUUAACAUUUUAUCAAUCAACAGUUCCUGCUUUUAAUGGUUUAUUAAGGGCGAAUUAAUUAAUUUAUACUGAAAGACCAAACAAGACACAAAAGUUUAGACCUUUCAGAUAAAUAAAGCAAAUUACUUAUCUUCCUCAACUUUAUUCUAUAAUCGUAAAAUACCUAUAUGUAACCAAAAACUGUAGCUAUUUAGACAUAAGUAUCCUAUACCAGCCAAAAAAAUCACUUCAUAACUAGACCAAAAAAUGCAAGUAACCCAAAAGAAAGCUAGCAAAAAGGAAUUCGACACUUAGUUUUAAGAUACAAUCACAGCAUGCAAUAAAAAAACCUAAAGAUAUAUAUAAAUACACCUCAACACGGCCAAGUCUCAUAAAGUCGGGUUCUGUAGAGUUCUGAUGGACCUCCUCAAAUUCAAUUCCAUUCGAUCUUGCAAUAUUAAACUUUAAAAUGUGAUCUUAAUAGUAAUCAAGAAAUUAUGCCAGUAAUCGAGCAAUUCUACAAACAUAAUUUAAACUACUGGUGCAAACCCUACUGAUUUCCAACACAUGUGAACUCCAGAAAAGCAUGUCAAUUCAAACAAUAUUAGAAAGUAAAUCAAAAGAUGAACAUCCAAUAAAAAAUUUGUGUAUGCAUUCAAUCCGACUGUAUCGCUCUAAUUACCCCAAAUAUAAAAACAAAAAAAAAAUCAAAGAAUCGGGUAACAAGGAACAUUAAAACUGAAAUCUUCAUUCAAACACACAACCAACGAUGUGGUUAUCCCAAAUUUAUUAAAAACAAAAAAUAAAAACUUACAGCGUUGGUUUCUCUCACAGCUACCAGCGACAAUUUUCAGCGAGAAAUGGGAUCGAAGAGAUGGAAUAAACCUUGGUUGAGUGUCUUUUUCUUGUUAUUUCUUGGAGUCAAACUCUCGUCUUCCGCUUCCUUCUUUCAAGUCCAAUUUCUAAUCAAAACCCUAAUCGAACAAUCACAGAAAUCGCAAUCACUUAUCUUUUGCAAAUCUCAAUCAAUUAAGACUACAAAAACUAGCGAAAAUAAGAAUAUGAAUGCCAAAUUAGUUCUCACCUUUGAUUUAUCAAAUUUGGUUAUGGGUUGACGUUUAAUUUCAUAAAGCCACCUCUUUCGCCUUAUAUGGUCUAGGUCUUCUUUUCGGGUUUAUAUUUGCCGUGAG
rnacentral:lncRNA from 1 species